GGUACCUGGCGGCGUGCCUACACAUGCAAGUCGAGCGAUCUCUUCGGAGAGAGCGGCGGACGGGUGAGUAACGCGUGGGUAACCUGCCCUGUACACACGGAUAACAUACCGAAAGGUAUACUAAUACGGGAUAACAUACGAAAGUCGCAUGGCUUUUGUAUCAAAGCUCCGGCGGUACAGGAUGGACCCGCGUCUGAUUAGCUAGUUGGUAAGGUAAUGGCUUACCAAGGCAACGAUCAGUAGCCGACCUGAGAGGGUGAUCGGCCACACUGGAACUGAGACACGGUCCAGACUCCUACGGGAGGCAGCAGUGGGGAAUAUUGCACAAUGGGCGAAAGCCUGAUGCAGCAACGCCGCGUGAGCGAUGAAGGCCUUCGGGUCGUAAAGCUCUGUCCUCAAGGAAGAUAAUGACGGUACUUGAGGAGGAAGCCCCGGCUAACUACGUGCCAUCAGCCGCGGUAUUCGUAGGGGGCUAGCGUUAUCCGGAAUUACUGGGCGUAAAGGGUGCGUAGGUGGGUUUUUUAAGUCAGAAGUGAAAGGCUACUUGCUCAACCGUAGUGAAGCUCUUUGAAACUAGGUUACUUGUAGUGGCUUGUGUGGGAGUAGUAUAAUUUCUUUAUUUGUAGCCGGCUGUAAAGUGCCGGUUAGCAUUAUCUCUGGUAAGCAAUCGUCCAUGCUAUGACCGAAGAUGGCGACCGAUUCAUCCGUGAAUCAUGUCGAUACCUGUCAACACAUAGGCAGUGGCUCUCCGUAGUAUAAGCUCGUUUAUGCGCGACUGAUGGCUAACAUCGACUUGUGAGGACAUCUGUCUGAGUAUACCACCCCGCGUGGAUGAUAUCAGCCCCUACCCUCGACGUCAUGACUAAUAAUGACCGAGACAACCGAUAGGGUAUACCUCUAUAAGUGACAUGAUAGCUUUAGAGAAGUGUAAUCUAUAUAAUCAUCGUCACACCCACUCUCCAUCGUUUUUUAGCCACCCU
rnacentral:rRNA from 1 species